AUCAGAACGAAACAAAUGACCAACAAGCGAUUUCCCCGACAUGUUGCGAUUGUUGCCUCGUGGCGUCGUUGGUGGUGGUGAUUAGGCAUAUUAUGGUUGUUACGCUUUUGCGCAUGCUCGGAGCGAUAUUACUUUUCGUCCUUUUUGGCUUCCUUUUCCUGUUUCUGGUGUUCUGUUUCUAGGAUUUUUUAGCAACUUCUCCAAACCUAUGGAUCUGGUAAGUCAAUUUACAGUUAAAUCUCUGAAUAGAGUAUAGAUAUUUACACAGUUGUAAGGUUUGCAUAUCGCAUAAAUGACGAGGUUUCGUUAAUAUAGGGACCGUUCAUUAUUUAUUGGGGGCUGGGGGGACUGCAAUUCUGGCAAAUCAAAUCCUGGAGGGACCUGAAAUUGAAGGAAGACACAUCUAUAACUUUCAAAGACUCAUUAAUUAAAUUUAUGAGGGGAAAAACAAAAAGAAAUCAGAUUUACAUUCAUCUUUGAAUUUCUCCUGUUUAGACAAUGUUGAUUUUUCAAAAUUACCAGGCCAAUGAACUUAGUCAACUUACCCAUGCAUGUAAGGUAAUCCAGGAAUCCGACUUUUAAUAGCUUUGCAAUCCGGAAUCCAGAAUCCAAACAUUGGAGGAAUCCGGAAUCCUUAUCCUCAGGGGCCAAUUUUCUGGAAUCCGGAAUCCAUGACCAAUCUGGAAUCCGGAAUCCAAGUAGUGGAAUCCAGAACCCAAGGAGCGGAAUCCAGAAUCCAAGGAAUGCAUAGUUUGAUUGCCUUACAUGGGGAACUUAUCAAAUAGAUUAUUUCUGAAGCUAUUCAAAACACUCACCACAGUACAUGUUUCAUCAGAUCUAUUAGAAACUCUUUGGUAUCACUUCGUGUUAUAAAUCUGAUGAAAGAUUGCUGUUGGUGCUUUGAAUAUUAAUACAUAAUAACUAACUUUCUUUUCUGCUCUUUGUCCCUGCUGUACAAAUUUUUAUAGUAUAGUUGCAUGAACACAAACAAAGAUGUACAUUUAUUAUAGUGUCAAUUGUACAUUGUUGCACUGUAUAUAUAAGGGAGUGGUCAUUAUUUAUGGGGGGGGGGGUUGGGAAAUUGGGAAAAUAAGGAUUGAAAACUUUUUUGACCCCCCCCCACCAGACUGAAGGCAAACUUUUUGUGCCUCCCCCUCAUGAGAGUAGAAACUUUUCUGACCCCCCCCUCCCCAGUGUGGAUUGAAAAAUUAACAGCAAUGAAACAGGUGUGCGUUGCAGGUAAAGUUAGAUAUUAGGACAAUCUGUUUAAUCUAGCUCAUGAUGUUUUACCCUGGUAAAAUGUUUACCAUAUAUGAUUAAAAAAUAUAUAUUAUGUAUGUGUUACUACCUUGCAAUGCAACAUUUGUCCUACCAUAACCCUAACCCAUGACCCGUCUUCAUACAGCGAAAUGUUUUGAACACAGGGUUUUUUAAGAACUUGUCUGGGGGUGGGCAUCUACAAAAAGGGACCAUACUAUAUUGAGUGUGGAGAGAUGACAGAUGGUUGUUGGCAGGGGCGGCGGAACAGAUUUCAUUUUGGGGGGGCUAAAUUUUUUCCUGUGACCUCCCUGCCCCUCCCCCCGCCAAAAAAAUUUUGGUCAGUGUACCAUUUUAGGGGUACAAAAAUUUUUCCGGACAUAUACAGGAAAAGGGAUGAAAAAAUUUUUUCCCGGACCUAUAACAAAAUUUUUUCCAGACACACAAAUUUUAAACAAAAUAUUGCACAUUUAUUCCCCUCAUACCUAAAUUUUAAAAAAUACCCUCACUUUUACUUAGCCUCCCCCCUGUUCUGCCGCCCCUGGUUGUUGGUGACAAAAAGUUUGGUGUGGUAUCGUAUGUACUAGUAGGGGGGUCUGGGGGUAUUCUCCCCCAGAAAAUUUUUUGUAUUUUUCCACCCCUAGAACUGAAAUGUGAGCAUUUUCUGAAACAGAUUUUUGGAUAUACAGCGUUGGAUAUACAGUAUUGUGCGUUGAUAGCCCGAAUCUGAUCAGUUAAGUAUACUUGCAUGGUAUGGCAUGUUUAUGUAAAUACCACAACUGGGUCACUCAGGGGGUAAAAAGCUUGUUAAACUUAGUGGGCCCGACUCCCACGAUCGCCAGGCGCUACCAUGGUUGGCGCUGAGCAGGGAAAUUUUGAAAAUUUUGAGUCUCUAGAUUGUUGGAAAUAACAUUUUCAGAGUCUUCUUUUUUGCUAUUUGUGAUUAUAGAAAUCAGAACAUUAGACAUGGUAUUUAAGUUCAAAAACUUUUAUGACCCCCCCCUUUCUCUGUGUUAAAACUUUUUUGACCCCCCCCCCUAUUUAUAAAGGGUUAAACUUCGUUUGCCCCCCCUCCCAUUUCCCAACCCCCCAUAAAUAAUGACCAUGCACUCCCUAAUAAAAUAUAUACAUAUUAGAGGUGUGCAAAUCUGAUCCGAAUCCGAUCGGAUUUGUUCGGAUUACGGAACAAAAAUAUACAUUUCGGAUCGGAUUGAUAAAGUUGUUAAUAAAAGUUUCGUAGUCGGAUCGGAUCAGACUUCGAUAAUCGGAUCGGACUUCGAUAUUCGAAAUAAAAUGAAUUAAUUUCCACGCAUUAUCGCAAGAAUUAAUUAUCCAUGCAUUUAUCAAUUGAAAGCAUUAAUUAUCGCAGUUGUCGCUGCAUUAUUUGUUUGAUUCUUCAAUUGGACGUCACUCUGUCAGCUUCUUGACUUGUAUUUCUUGCUUUUAUAUUUAUUUGGUUAAAUAUUUCAACUUGAAUGAGAAAUUUAUUCUUCGGAUCGGAAUUCUUUAUCAAAGCUCGGAUCGGAUUCGGAUUAAACAUUUUUGGAUCGGAUUUUAAACAUUAGCCAAUUGUCGGAUUAUAAACGUCCAAUCUGAUCCAAUGCGCAACCUCUAAUACAUAUAUAAAUUACAAUAGCCGCAGGAAAAAAGUACAUGUGAUACUCAUUCACUGUCAACAACAUGGUACAUGAAUGCAUUUUUAUGUCUUUUAUAAAGUGCAUGCUAUAUACAGUUUUAUAAUUAUAGAAUGAAAUGAAUGAGGGACCUUAAAAUUUAUUGUUAAGGUAAGGAGGAACGGAAUAUCUAAGUUUGACUAAAGGUAGGGUCCGGGGGAAAAUAUGAAUAUUUGCAGAAAUCACCCAUACCCCCCUCCCCCCCAUGAAAAUGAACGGUCCCUAAAGUCUGAUGGUUGGUUUGAUUCUGUGAAAUGUUGACACUUUAUACAUUGUCAAACAAAUUGAACUAUUACAUUAUUUUUUCACUCUGAUCACUGCAGGAUAAUGAAACCAAGCUAUAUAUAUAUAUAUAUAUAUAUAUAUAUAUAUAUAUAUAUAUAUAUAUAUAUAUAUAUAUAUAUAUAUAUAUAUAUAUAUAUAUAUAUAUAUAUAUAUAUAUAUAUAUAUAAAUUUGUAGUAUUGCGCGCAAUUUAUACAUGAUGAUAUGCUUUUUUUGAAAGGUUCUCUCAUUUAAACUUAACACUGGAGCAGUAAUGCCUGCAAUUGGUUUGGGGUAAGCAGUUAUACGAAUUUUAUAGGAAACUCAGGAUAGUUUGCUUAAAUUGAGUCACAGAAUAGAAAACAGAGUAGUUUUCUAUUCUAUUCUGUGAUUGAGUGUAUUGACACAGAUCAAACGUCGUG
rnacentral:lncRNA from 1 species